GUCGAUCCUGAAGCACGCCGUCGCCGCCAUCGCGUAGCCCUCUACCUCCCAAUAUCUUGCUCCUCUGCCAACAUCAGUGAUCGCCGCCGCCGCCUCCAUUGCAGAUCUCCAGGUCACCAUGGGACCACGCCGCCCCCACCUGCGCGGAACCCGAGGGAAUGGCGCUAGGAACCCAAGCUGCAGGGUAGGCAGCGAGGAGCGGCGCAACAAGGCCCUGCCGGCUGUGCUGUACGCCAGGAAAGGGGCGGGCGCACGGGGAGGGGCCGCGGUGCGUGCGAGGGUCGCCGAGGCCUCCGUGCCCGUGGUCGCAGCCGAGGGCCACGGUAGGCAGGAGCCCCCACCGCAUCCGCUGUCGAGAUCCCCGUCACGUGCUGCCAGGUGAGGUUGUUUUCCGGGGGCGCACAACACCCAGGAGCCCCCACAACGCCACCUGCGAUGAUCCCGCCGCCAGUGUCAGCCACGGCCAUGUCCGACGCCCUCGGCCUCUUCAUCAUCGGGUCGCACUUUCUUUGCCUGUGUCAACCGUGUUACUGUGCCGGCGAUCUCCUCCGACAUGAAGUUUCUGGGCUGAUUCAGGCCGCCCGAGGGGCCACAAGGACACGGGAAGUCGACCCCGUGCUCGGUUCCCUCUGCCGCUAUAGUCUAUCAUCUUGGCCUAAUUCUGCCGCCCUCCUCGAUUCCGUUUACCCGCUGUCACGCCCUACUCCUACACCCACGGUCAGCCUAGCUCCACAUCUCCCUCAAGUUUGUCAUUGUGUAACCCCUCACAAUUUGGUGUCUUCCCAGCCGUAGUUCCUCUGUGCCUGGCGCUGCAAACUCCCCGCUCAGCGGUCACGAGAUCUCACUGGAAACAAUUAUACAGGGUGAGAUGCAGAACUACCACCUAAUUUGGGAACUGCAUCAUUAAUUAGGUGCGGCUGUAGGUUUAGUCUGCGUUGCCCUCUAAUUUUCUAGGUGUUCAGUACAUAAUUUGAAUGUACGAAUGGCUUAGCAUCAACUUCAUCCGCAUUGCUCUGCUCCAAUUGUUGCAUUCCCCUAGCUAAAUUAAUUUGUCUGGUUGUCUCCAUUGCCAAAAAAAAGUGGACUAAAUUUUCUAGCGUUCAUGUGUAUUUGAUUCUAAUGUAGUGUUUAAGAAUGAAAUCACUUAAGUUUUGCACUCCAGUACCUAUAUAGUCAAUGUACCUUCUAGAAGUAUGGUGCAUCUGAAUUUAGUGGCAUUUGCAUCCAUAUGAUAGAUAAUGUCUAUGGAGUGGCUUACUCAACCAAGUAUCAUGGUUUUUGGUGAAAAUAUUAAGGUAAGGUUGUCCCUGCUUUCUUCUUGUUUGAUGUACUGACUCCUGACUCCUGAUGCAUGAAUGUUGUUUAUUCUGAUAAAUAAUGUUUGAUUAGUUUGUGUAUGCAACUCAGAGCUAUGAUAGAUGAAAUUGGAUUGUUUCUGGAACUUCAAAUGAUUCUGAACAUAAGUAAUAACAAAAUGGAACUAUGUAUGCUGGAAACGCAAUAAAGUGCAGUUAUGCAUGUGUUUUGACAUGCUUAGAGGUCACAACGUGCCUUGGACGCUUAUCACAAUCCUCAGCAAGAUGACAAAAGUGCAUAGGUGCUGGUGUAUUUCUAAUACUCAUAUCUCAUAGGUGCUAAUAACAAUCUGGUGUAUUUUUUUUUUGAGGGCACGAAGAAAUAAUAUUGAAGUGUUGUAGGUUGAAAAUAUAAUUGACGAAAAACACACAGGGAAAAAGGUCUUGCUAGAAAUUGUUUAUGAUGCCGAAUUCUCUCCCCUUGUAAUUAGAAGCUUCUAGCCUUAGAUUUGAUGACUCACCUGAUCACUAUAAUUUAUCAUUUCAACUACGACACAGGUAAUUUUCGACACUCCCUUUUUGCCUCUGAACAAGUUUAAUAAUGACUUCGAUGUUUAGAAUAUGCUCCUUAUGUCUGUUAUCGUUUCUUAAAACGACACAUAUAUAAGACCCAACUAUUUGAUUGUUGUUUUGUUUAAUCAGAUCAUUGGGGAAGAUUCGAUACCAUGCUUCUUAUUUCGGUUGACCAUUUUCUAAAGUUGUUGAGCGACAUUGUGUUCAUAUAUAAUGUACCAAAUUAUUAGUACUAGACGUCUAUACAUUCUACCUUCAAUAUUUUUCGGAACAAAGAUUCAUCUUCUUUGGUGCCGUUUCAUGACAUAAAAGAAUUCAUCAAACACAUUUUUUCUCGAGUUUUUGUCGAGUAUUGUAUAACUGAUGUUGCCCAGCCUAUUCUUCUAUGUUAAUAGCUAUCCAGUUAUAUCUAUUCUUUUGUUUGCACUUCGUGAAAGAUGUGUGGCCUACAAUAGUGUGAGUGUUACCUCUCCUUCAAGCUAACUUCUUUUUUUCAGAAAGCCUUCUUGAAGAUAUGUAGCCAUCAAUAUUUUACUACACCUUCUGUAGAGAAAGAAAGAUAGGGAUUGGACUGGUUGUUGUUGUUACUUUUGUCUGAGAGAUAUGGGACACACAUGGAGAGAUGGAACAGCCGGGGGGCUAGGAUGCCUCUUGAUCUGCAGGAGCUAAAUUUGCUGCCGAAGUUACUCUGGUAUCUAACUGACAUGUAAAGGAGUCAUGAACAGGUGAACCCAUACUGAAAAUGCCACAUGUGUACAAUAUAAACUUCUGGAUAAGCAUGGAUACAGAAAUGAGCAUUUAUUCCCAAUUGUUUGAGAAAGACUGUGGAGAUUGAUAUCAAGUACGGAGUAUGAAGGUUUCAUGGCAUGACUAAAGUCAAUUACAACAGGUAAUAUGUUCCAAAAAAAUACAACAGGUAAUUUGCUUAUGGUCUUGCUAAUCGAGAAAAUUUUCAUUUUCUUUGUCGAGGAACUUGUUUUUAGCUGUUUUGUAGCAGUAAUUGAUUCUUCUUCAUUGUUCUGCAUUAUAAUAAAUAAUGUUGGGGUUAUAAGUUUUUUUGUUUCUUUUCUUAAGAAAAGAACCAGUUCCACUGACUUUGAUAGGUUCAGUUAUUUAAUUUGUCUUGCUUGCUACUUGAAAAUCUGUCCACCACUAAUAGUGGUUUCCCUCUCCAGAUUAUAACCCAGGAACACAGGAAACCCCUGGACUUUCCAAAACUAGGCAAAUCACCCCCUGUCACUGAUUAUGGUGGUUUUUGCGAGCAGUUUUGCCUACGUGACAAGUUUCCGGUUAAGGAAAUUGGAUUUGAUUGCCACGCUGGACCCUCUUGAUCCUAGCGUCGAACAGAGCCUGGGGUAGGGGGCGUCACGGCGGCUGGUUGACAAGCUGGUUAGUUCUCGUACGUCCCGGUCGCUGCUGUUUUUUAGGUCUGUGGUAAAGCGUUGUGAAGAUUGGGGCUGGGGUUUGGGGCGGUGGACAUAGGGCUUUGGGGUGGCAUUGAUCUUUGAUUGUUGUAGCCCUUCGAUUUGGGUAGUUCCUGUUGAUUUGGAGCGGCAGAUAGAGGGGUUUGGGGCAAAUGAAAAUCCUUAAUCAAUCUUACAUGAUCUGCGGGAGGUUAUUUUUAGACCAUGCAGUAGAGGAACUGCAUGUCAAUUCAUUAAGAUAGACAAACAAGUCUGAAAAAACGCUGCCAAGAAUGGCCAAGCACCCAAUGCAUGAUAGGACUGAAGAAACUGAAACUGUACAAUGUUGUACCAUGGGGCUUAUAUGUCAGUUAAAUUACUCUUGGUAGUGAAAGGAAACAGGGAACAUAAGCUAUCAAGCACGUUGUAUGUUGUAUGAGAGAUAUACAGGGAAUAGGGAACAAAGAGAUGUUUGAGGCACUCUGUUUUUUUGGUAGCUUGAUCGGCGCUUUGUGGGAGGCAGAGCAGGUAAGUCCCGAGCUCUCAAUGGCUCAAGGUGAUUGGCACUUACGUAUCAUAGUCGAUCUUUUUGGAAGAUUGGGGAUGGGGUGGAGAGGCGUAGGGAGGUUUGGGCUGGGUUAUAGUGAGUUGCAGGUUUCAGGUUAUUUGCACUACUAGCUGGGUCAAAAUCUCCAUGGCUUGCAUUUAUGAUCAGCAACAUGUACUUUGUAUUUGAUCAAUAAACAUAGAUAUUCAUGGGGUCGUGGAGUAGGAAUGUAGCUAGGAUGAAAAUACAACUCACACGUACCAGUGUAGUAGUACAUCAAACUUUCUUUUAAUAGCAUACGUGUGUGAUCACUCAAAUAUAAUAACACUGUUUCAUGAGUUCAGAAAUUUGAAAAAAUUCAGAAGCAAAUCAUAAUAUGUGCGGCCAGAAAUAUGUGGUUUUUAUGCUUGUUUGUAGAUUGCUGUCGAGUUCAUCAAUUUAGGGGUUAGACUAUUGAAAUGAUCUAUAUCCAGAAGGCAUAUAUGUGUGUGUGUGAUGUUGUGGGUCUGAUUGCACAUGGAUUAAAUCUUACAUAUGUGCAAACUGCAAAGGACUUGUAUAUGUGUUUAUUUUGCAGAUAUGACACCACUCAAUUACCUAUCUGUUCGGUUUCAUUUCCGAGGUGAAUUGCAUCAUGAUGAAAGUGAAUGGAAGUAUUUGAAUGGAAGGUCAGGAAUGUCCACAAUUGAGUGUGACAAAAUGUGUCUACAAUAGUUGAAGAAACACCUUGCAGAUCAUGUUUCCUAUUCUGAUGAAGUACUAAAUGUGACAACUUUGUACUGGAAGUUUCCUUUAAAGGGCACAGGUGCUCUUGUUGUUAUGAAUGACGAAGAAUCUAAACAAGAGCAGCUACAAGGAGAAAAGGCCAAUCAAGCAAGAACAGAGCAAGUUCCUGUUCCAUGAAGACGACAAAGUUCAGCUCCUGGUCCAUCAACAAAGCAAGCACCUACAACAUCUAAGCCACCAAAUAGGAAGAAGAAGGCCUCAACUUCUCAAAAUAAUCCUGACACUGCACCUUUCUAUGAGAGAGCAAAGAACAGAAGGAAAGCACAUACACAAUCAUCUUAACCUCCUUCCAUGGCAUCUUCUUAUCAAUUAGCAUCAGGGUCGAUAUCUCAGCCAAUGCCAAACCAGUCAGGAUUCUCAUGGUUGUUAUAUGGCAAUAAAUGAACUUGUAGUUACAUAUAGUGAAACAGAACUGAACUUGUAGUUCAUGGUUGAUUGUUUUGCAUGCUCUGGUUCAUGCUUUAUUAUUAUGUAAAACUACUACUGGUAGCACUUGUUCCCUAUUAUGUGUCACAUGCACUGUUCGAUGAUGUGGGUGUGAUAUGGGCAUGACUGGUUCUUAUGUGAUUUCCCUGUUGUGUU